AAUAAAAUGCCUGAUCAAAGGAAUAUUCUGAUAGAAUAUAUAACGUAAAAAAUUACUUUUAUUU
rnacentral:tRNA from 1 species